rnacentral:rRNA from 1 species
GAAUUUUGCGCAAUGGGCGAAAGCCUGACGCAGUAACGCCGUGUGGAGGAUGAAGGCCUUCGGGUUGUAAACUCCUGUCAGGGGGAACGACGAAGAAAGGUUGAUAAAAUCUUUCUUUCAGACGGUACCCCCAAAGGAAGCCCCGGCUAAUGCAGAGCCAGCAGCCACGGUAAUACGGAAGGGGCAAGCGUUGUUCGGAAUCAUUGGGCGUAAAGGGCGCGUAGGUGGUUCUGUAUGUCUACUGUGAAAGCGUACAGCUCAACUGUAUUUUGUCGGUAGAAACUGCAGGACUUGAGGCUGGGAGGGGCUGGUGGAAUUCCCUGUGUAGCGGUGAAAUGCGUAGAGAUGGGGGAGAACACUCGUGGCGAAGGCGGCCAGCUAGACCAGUUCUGACACUGAGGCGCGACAGCGUGGGGAGCAAACAGG